rnacentral:tRNA from 1 species
ACGGCUUAGUUGGUUUCCGUGAUCCAAAUGGUAUCCGUCCGCUUAUUUACGGUUCUCGUGUAACUGAGCAAGGCGAGAUGGA